CCUACGGGGGGCAGCAGUGGGGAAUAUUGGGCAAUGGAGGAAACUCUGACCCAGCAACGCCGCGUGAAUGAUGAAGGUCUUCGGAUUGUAAAGUUCUUUUCUAAGGGAAGAAGAAAGUGACGGUACCUUAGGAAUAAGCCUCGGCUAACUACGUGCCAGCAGCCGCGGUAAUACGUAGGAGGCAAGCGUUAUCCGGAAUGACUGGGCGUAAAGGGUGCGUAGGUGGUUCAGCAAGUUAGUAGCGUAAUUCCGGGGCUCAACUUCGGAACUACUACUAAAACUGUUGGACUUGAGUGCAGGAGGGGCAACUGGAAUUUCUAGUGUAGCGGUGAAAUGCGUAGAUAUUAGGAAGAACACCGGUGGCGAAGGCGGGUUGCUGGACUGUAACUGACACUGAGGCACGAAAGCGUGGGGAGCAAACAGGAUUAGAUACCCUUGUAGUC
rnacentral:rRNA from 1 species